rnacentral:rRNA from 1 species
GAUGAACGCUAGCGGCAGGCUUAAUACAUGCAAGUCGAGGGGUAGCAAGAUUGUAGCAAUACAAUUGUUGACGACCGGCAAACGGGUGCGGAACACGUACACAACCUUCCUACAAGUGGGGAAUAGCCCAGAGAAAUUUGGAUUAAUACCCCGUAACAUAGCGAUGUGGCAUCACAUUGCUAUUAUAGCUUCGGCGCUUGUUGAUGGGUGUGCGGCUGAUUAGAUAGUUGGCGGGGUAACGGCCCACCAAGUCUACGAUCAGUAGCUGAUGUGAGAGCAUGAUCAGCCACACGGGCACUGAGACACGGGCCCGACUCCUACGGGAGGCAGCAGUAAGGAAUAUUGGACAAUGGACGCAAGUCUGAUCCAGCCAUGCCGCGCGAAGGAUUAAGGUCCUCUGGAUUGUAAGCUUCUUUUAUAAGGGACGAAAAAAGGUCUUUCUAGAUCGUCUGACGGUACCUUAUGAAUAAGCACCGGCUAACUCCGUGCCAGCAGCCGCCGUAACAC